rnacentral:rRNA from 1 species
UGGUUAUUUCCAUACCGACUAUGGAGCGUGAUGGGGGGACGCAUAGGGUUAAGCGAGCUAGCUGAUGGAAGCGCUAGUCUAAGGGCGUAGAUUGGAGGGAAGGCAAAUCCACCUCUGUAUUUGAAACCCAAACAGGCUCUUUGAGUCCUUUUAGGACAAAGGGAGAAUCGCUGAUACCGUCGUGCCAAGAAAAGCCUCUAAGCAUAUCCAUAGUCGUCCGUACCGCAAACCGACACAGGUAGAUGAGAUGAGUAUUCUAAGGCGCGUGAAAGAACUCUGGUUAAGGAACUCUGCAAACUAGCACCGUAAGUUCGCGAUAAGGUGUGCCACAGCGAUGUGGUCUCAGCAAAGAGUCCCUCCCGACUGUUUACCAAAAACACAGCACUUUGCCAACUCGUAAGAGGAAGUAUAAGGUGUGACGCCUGCCCGGUGCUCGAAGGUUAAGAGGAUGCGUCAGUCGCAAGAUGAAGCGUUGAAUUGAAGCCCGAGUAAACGGCGGCCGUAACUAUAACGGUCCUAAGGUAGCGAAAUUCCUUGUCGGUUAAAUACCGACCUGCAUGAAUGGCGUAACGAGAUGGGAGCUGUCUCAACCAGAGAUUCAGUGAAAUUGUAGUGGAGGUGAAAAUUCCUCCUACCCGCGGCAAGACGGAAAGACCCCGUGGACCUUU